CAGUCGGGCCUGGCUCCCGCAGCUGCAUCCCGCGGGGUAGCACGGGAGCUGUCCCGGGAGCUGUCCUCUGCUGGCAGCGGAGCCGCGGGCGGGCGGUGCGGGUGGCCCGGGGCCAUCGCCGCUGGGCCUGGGGUGUUCCCGGGAAAACGUCUCUGGCACGGCUGGUAUCGUGCUGGGCGCAGUUUAAAUAGUGUGAACAAAAACUUCUGGCAUAGGCUUAAGGUUAUUUGUUUUGAAGUAGUCAACUUUGAAUUGACUGAAGUUGAUGAUACUAAUCUUCCCUUUUGUAAUGGGAAUGUGGACUGCUGCGAAUGCGCUGACAAGUUCUUGAGCUUUUCAUCAAAUCUGUACUGACACUGAACACUCAGAUGUAGCUUACAGAUGCUUUUUUGGUUCACUCCUUAUAUAUUCUCAGAAGUGACAAAAGUUGAAACUAUGGAGGUUGAUAAAUAAAAAUUUAAACUCAUGGAAUUAAAGUCUGAGUAAUAYACCAGUUUUUCAUGGAAGUUCAUGGAGGAAUGUUUCCCAUGGGAGGGAACCCAGACUGGAGCAGGGAAAGAGUGUGAGGAAUUCUUCCUGGAGGAGGAAGGAGCAGCAGAGACAACGUGUGAUGAACUGACCACAGCCCCCAUUUCCUGUCCUGCCUAGCCUCUGCGGGGGGCGAGAAAGAGAAUUUGGGACUGAAGUUAAGCUCAGGAAGAAGUGGUACAUGGGUGGAAGGUGUUUUAAGAUUUAUCUUGAUUUCUCAGUAUUCUACUCUGAUU